AGUGAACGCUGGCGGUAGGCCUAACACAUGCAAGUCGAACGGCAGCACAGUAAGAGCUUGCUCUUACGGGUGGCGAGUGGCGGACGGGUGAGGAAUACAUCGGAAUCUACUUUUUCGUGGGGGAUAACGUAGGGAAACUUACGCUAAUACCACAUACGACCUACGGGUGAAAGCAGGGGAUCUUCGGACCUUGCGCGAUUGAAUGAGCCGAUGUCGGAUUAGCUAGUUGGCGGGGUAAAGGCCCACCAAGGCGACGAUCCGUAGCUGGUCUGAGAGGAUGAUCAGCCACACUGGAACUGAGACACGGUCCAGACUCCUACGGGAGGCAGCAGUGGGGAAUAUUGGACAAUGGGCGCAAGCCUGAUCCAGCCAUACCGCGUGGGUGAAGAAGGCCUUCGGGUUGUAAAGCCCUUUUGUUGGGAAAGAAAAGCAGCGGGUUAAUACCCCGCUGUUCUGACGGUACCCAAAGAAUAAGCACCGGCUAACUUCGUG
rnacentral:rRNA from 1 species